GAUGAAGAACGUAGCGAAAUGCGAUAAGUAAUGCGAAUUGCAGAUUUCAGUGAGUCAUCGAAUCUUUGAACGCUCAUUGCGGCCGCCAGUAUUCUGGCGGGCAUGCCUGUUCGAGCGUCAUUUCAACCAUCAAGCCCCCGGGCUUGCGUUGGGGCCCUGCGGCUGCCGCAGGCCCCGAAAAGCAGUGGCGGGCUCGCUGUCACACCGAGCGCAGUAGCGAUUCUCGCUCCGGGCGUCGGCGGCGGGCACCGGCCGUGAAACCCCCCCACAUCCACAAGGUUGACCUCGGAUCAGGUAGGAAUACCCGCUGAACUUAAGCAUAUCAAUAAGCGGAGGA
rnacentral:misc_RNA from 1 species